UAGCAUAGUUAAAUCUGGCUACUAUAUGUAGUAUAGUAUAAAAUGCAGCAAGGUAUAAAGGCAAAAACCUAUAGGGCCAUUGUAUUGGUGGUUUACAUAUGAUUAUUUCAUAAUGAAAGGUGUAAUCCUACUCAUCAAUUUAAUCACAUUCUUCUCGUUUUAGAUCUGUAUUGCUAUUGAGUUUUUAGCUCUUCCACAGUAUAUAUUAUUCUUUUAUCUAUG